GGUGUUAGUCCUGCAGCUCACCACCUGCUCUGUGGCUCUGCUCCCGCAGCUCCCAGGAGGAAUGGAUGUGAAAUUUGUCACCGUUCUGGUUGUCCUAGCAGUCACGGUUAGUCAAACGUCUGAGACCUGCAUUUCUUUGAUGCUCUGUACCCCAAGAACCAAGGAUGUUGUGUGGAGACAGCUUGCAAACUGAUCAUGAUUUGAUGGACAAAACCCUCUCCUAAAAUCCUAUAGGAAAUACGCAUUUAUCCAUCUCCAGUCAGCCUUCCAGCUUUGAAAACAUCCAUAUUAACAGCAGUCCUCAUAGCAAAACAGGAAAAGCUUCACCACAUAACUUCAAUUAUAUUUAUUCUUUAUAUAUGCUUUUUAGAUCUAUGUAUUAUUAUUUAUGGUUAUAUGGUUAUAGCUUAGAAUCCCUUUAUCUUUUUUUUAAUCCAUCUCAGAAUUGUGCUUUAACUGUGUGCAUUACCAUGUUAAAAGAGUAGGAUGCAUUGGAGCAUUUUUCAGCAUUUGAGUUCUCCUGUCAAGUCCAGCUACUAAGCAACCUCCUUGUUUUUACAGUAUAUGUCUAAGCUGCAUUUCCCAAGAAUUCUAGCAUCUGGCUUUGUUCACCUGUCAGCCAGGAUCAGAGUCUUCUGCAUAAUGAAAUAGUUAUUGGCUUGCUUUAGGUUAACAUGAAAAGACCUGCCUUGAGGUGCUGAACUCUUAAAAUAGCCUCAAGUUUGUUUUAAAUGAGAGAAACAGUUUCUGGCAGCUUUAUGAAAUGAGUGCUAAAUAAGCUGCUUUACAGGAGUUAAUAUCAAGUAUAGAUGAUGUGAUAGUCCAUUUCCCUCCAAGGACAGAG